rnacentral:rRNA from 1 species
AGAGUUUGAUCCUGGCUCAGGAUGAACGCUAGCUACAGGCUUAACACAUGCAAGUCGAGGGGAAACGACAUCGAAAGCUUGCUUUUGAUGGGCGUCGACCGGCGCACGGGUGAGUAACGCGUAUCCAACCUGCCCAUCACUUGGGGAUAACCUUGCGAAAGUAAGACUAAUACCCAAUGACGUCUCUAGAAGACAUCUGAAAGAGAUUAAAGAUUUAUCGGUGAAGGAUGGGGAAGCGUCUGAAUAGCUUGUUGGCGGGGUAACGGCCCACCAAGGCUACGAUCAAUAGGGGUUCUGAGAGGAAGGUCCCCCACAUUGGAACUGGGACACGGUCCCAAACUUCUACGGGAGGCAGCAGUGAGGAAUAUUGGUCAAUGGGCGAGAGCCUGAACCAGCCAAGUAGCGUGCAGGAUGACGGCCCUAUGGGUUGUAAACUGCUUUUAUAAAGGAAUAAAGUGAGCCUCGUGAGGCUUUUUUGCAUGUACCUUAUGAAUAAAGACCGGCUAAUUCCGUGCCAGCAGCCGCGGUAAUACAGAAAGUCCGGGCGUUAUCCCGGAUUUACUGGGUUUAAAAGGGAGCGUAGGCCCGGAGAUUAAGCGUGUUGUGAAAUGUAGAUGCUCAACAUCUGCACUGCAGCGCGAACUGGUUUCCUUGGUUACGCACAAAGUGGGCGGAAUUCGUGGUGUAGCGGUGAAAUGCUUAGAUAUCACGAAGAACUCCGAUUGCGAAGGCAGCUCACUGGAGCGCAACUGACGCUGAAGCUCGAAAGUGCGGGUAUCGAACAGGAUUAGAUACCCUGGUAGUCCGCACGGUAAACGAUGGAUGCCCGCUGUUGGUCUGAAUAGGUCAGCGGCCAAGCGAAAGCAUUAAGCAUCCCACCUGGGGAGUACGCCGGCAACGGUGAAACUCAAAUGAAUUGACGG